GCCUGGCUAGCUCAAUCGGUAGAGCGUUUGACUCUUAUACAAGAGAAGCGAUCAAAAGGCUGCGGGUUCGACCCCCGCGUCGGGCU
rfam:Pichia guilliermondii ATCC 6260 scaffold_2 genomic scaffold, whole genome shotgun sequence.